ACGUAGGACGCAAGCGUUAUCCGGAAUUACUGGGCGUAAAGAGCGUGUAGGCGGUUGCGUAAGUCAUCCGUGAAAGCUCCCGGCUAAACUGGGAGAGGACGGGUGAGACUGCGUGGCUAGAGGGUUGUAGAGGGAUGUGGAAUUCCGGGUGUAGUGGUGAAAUGCGUAGAGAUCCGGAGGAACACCAGAGGCGAAGGCGGCAUCCUGGACAACAUCUGACGCUGAGACGCGAAAGCGCGGGGAGCAAACGGGAUUAGAGACCCCGGUAGUCCGCGCCGUAAACGAUGUGUGCUAGAUGUUCGGUUUCCUACGGGGAAUUGAGCGUCGAAGCUAACGCGAUAAGCACACCGCCUGAGGAGUACGGUCGCAAGGCUA
rnacentral:rRNA from 1 species